CCUCGGUUUCGAACACGUCAUCUCAUCUCUUUCUUUCUUUUCUUCCUUUCAAAUCCGCGAGACGGUCGGACUGGUGUAGCAGAAAUGAAACAACUCUUUUUGUGUCUCCUUGUUGGAGCUUGUGUGAGUUGUGCUCUUAGUGCUGAAGGAGAGACAAGUGCCAGACUGCUCA